AACGAACGCUGGCGGCAGGCUUAACACAUGCAAGUCGAACGCAUCCUUCGGGGUGAGUGGCAGACGGGUGAGUAACGCGUGGGAACGUGCCCUUCAGUUCGGGAUAACCCCGGGAAACUUGGGCUAAUACCGGAUACGUGCGAGAGCAGAAAGAUAUAUCGCUGAAGGAUCGGCCCGCGUCUGAUUAGCUAGUUGGUGGGGUAAUGGCCCACCAAGGCGACGAUCAGUAGCUGGUCUGAGAGGAUGAUCAGCCACAUUGGGACUGAGACACGGCCCAAACUCCGACGGGAGGCAGCAGUGGGGAAUAUUGGACAAUGGGCGCAAGCUUGAUCCAGCCAUGCCGCGUGAGUGAUGAAGGCCUUAGGGUUGUAAAGCUCUUUCGUCCGGGACGAUAAUGACGGUACCGGAAGAAGAAGCCCCGGCUAACUUCGUGCCAGCCGCCGCAGUAA
rnacentral:rRNA from 1 species